rnacentral:rRNA from 1 species
AGGUAAUCUACCCUUGGGUUUGGAAUAACCCGCCGAAAGGCGGACUAAUACCGGAUAAAAUCUUUCGGAGGGAUCUGAAAGAUCAAAGGUGGCCUCUCCAUGGAUGCUACUGCCUGAGGAUGAGCCUGCGUCCCAUUAGCUUGUUGGUAGGGUAAUGGCCUACCAAGGCUACGAUGGGUAGCUGGUCUGAGAGGAUGAUCAGUCACACUGGAACUGGAACACGGUCCAGACUCCUACGGGAGGCAGCAGUGAGGAAUAUUGCGCAAUGGGGGAAACCCUGACGCAGCGACGCCGCGUGGGUGAAGAAGGCCUUCGGGUCGUAAAGCCCUGUCUAGAGGGAAGAAAUUCUCAAUGGAAUAAUACCCAUUGAGAUUGACGGUACCUCUGGAGGAAGCACCGGCUAACUCCGUGCCAGCAGCCGCGGUAAUACGGAGGGUGCGAGCGUUGUUCGGAAUUACUGGGCGUAAAGCGGGUGUAGGCGGUUUGUUAAGUCAGAUGUGAAAGCCCACGGCUCAACCGUGGAAGUGCAUCUGAAACUGGCUGACUUGAGUACCGGAGAGGGAAGUGGAAUUCCUGGUGUAGGGGUGAAAUCCGUAGAUAUCAGGAGGAACACCGGCGGCGAAGGCGACUUCCUGGACGGAUACUGACGCUGAGAUCCGAAAGCGUGGGGAGCAAACAGGAUUAGAUACCCUGGUAGUCCACGCAGUAAACGGUGAACACUAGGUGUAGCGGGUAU